rnacentral:rRNA from 6 species
UGGGGGAUAGCCCGGCGAAAGCCGGAUUAAUACCGCAUACGAUCUGUGGAUGAAAGCGGGGGAUCUUCGGACCUCGCGCUACAGGGGCGGCCGAUGGCAGAUUAGCUAGUUGGUGGGGUAAAGGCCUACCAAGGCGACGAUCUGUAGCUGGUCUGAGAGGACGACCAGCCACACUGGGACUGAGACACGGCCCAGACUCCUACGGGAGGCAGCAGUGGGGAAUUUUGGACAAUGGGCGAAAGCCUGAUCCAGCAAUGCCGCGUGUGUGAAGAAGGCCUUCGGGUUGUAAAGCACUUUUGUCCGGAAAGAAAACCUCGUGGUUAAUACCCGUGGGGGAUGACGGUACCGGAAGAAUAAGCACCGGCUAACUACGUGCCAGCAGCCGCGGUAAUACGUAGGGUGCAAGCGUUAAUCGGAAUUACUGGGCGUAAAGCGUGCGCAGGCGGUUCGCUAAGACAGAUGUGAAAUCCCCGGGCUUAACCUGGGAACUGCAUUUGUGACUGGCGGGCUAGAGUAUGGCAGAGGGGGGUAGAAUUCCACGUGUAGCAGUGAAAUGCGUA